rnacentral:rRNA from 1 species
CCUACGGGAGGCAGCAGUGAGGAAUAUUGGUCAAUGGGCGCGAGCCUGAACCAGCCAAGUAGCGUGAAGGAUGACUGCCCUACGGGUUGUAAACUUCUUUUAUAAAGGAAUAAAGUGAGGCACGUGUGCCUUUUUGUAUGUACUUGAUGAAUAAGGAUCGGCUAACUCCGUGCCAGCAGCCGCGGUAAUACGGAGGAUCCGAGCGUUAUCCGGAUUUAUUGGGUUUAAAGGGAGCGUAGAUGGGUUGUUAAGUCAGUUGUGAAAGUUUGCGGCUCAACCGUAAAAUUGCAAUUGAUACUGGCAGCCUUGAGUACGGGUGAGGUAGGCGGAAUUCGUGGUGUAGCGGUGAAAUGCUUAGAUAUCACGAAGAACUCCGAUUGCGAAGGCAGCUUACUAAACUGCCACUGACAUUGAUGCUCGAAAGUGUGGGUAUCGAACAGGAUUAGAUACCCCAGUAGUC